rnacentral:rRNA from 1 species
UACGGAGGAUGCGAGCGUUAUCCGGAUUUAUUGGGUUUAAAGGGUGCGCAGGCGGAAGAUUAAGUCGGCGGUGAAAUUUUGCAGCUCAACUGUAAAAGUGCCAUCGAUACUGGUUUUCUUGAGUGUGGAUGAAGUAGGCGGAAUUUGUGGUGUAGCGGUGAAAUGCAUAGAUAUCACGAGGAACUCCGAUUGCGCAGGCAGCUUACUAGGCCAUAACUGACGCUCAGGCACGAAGGCGUGGGGAUCAAACAGGAUUA